GGAUGAGCCCGCGGCCUAUUAGCUUGUUGGUGGGGUAGUGGCCUACCAAGGCGACGACAGGUAGCCGGCCUGAGAGGGCGACCGGCCACACUGGGACUGAGACACGGCCCAGACUCCUACGGGAGGCAGCAGUGGGGAAUAUUGCGCAAUGGGCGGAAGCCUGACGCAGCGACGCCGCGUGGGGGAUGAAGGCCUUCGGGUUGUAAACCCCUUUCGGCAGGGAACAAGCCCCUUGGGGUGAGGGUACCUGCGGAAGAAGCGCCGGCUAACUACGUGCCAGCAGCCGCGGCCG
rnacentral:rRNA from 1 species